rnacentral:rRNA from 1 species
ACGGAAGGCAGCAGUCGGGAAUAUUGCGCAAUGGAGGAAACUCUGACGCAGUGACGCCGCGUAUAGGAAGAAGGUUUUCGGAUUGUAAACUAUUGUCGUUAGGGAAGAAAGAAAUGACAGUACCUAAGGAGGAAGCACCGGCUAACUAUGUGCCAGCAGCCGCGGUAAUACAUAGGGUGCGAGCGUUAUCCGGAUUUAUUGGGUGUAAAGGGUGCGUAGACGGGAGUUUAAGUUAGUUGUGAAAUCCCUCGGCUUAACUGAGGAACUGCAACUAAAACUAAAUUUCUUGAGUAUCGGAGGGGAAAGUGGAAUUCCUAGUGUAGCGGUGAAAUGCGUAGAUAUUAGGAGGAACACCGGUGGCGAAGGCGACUUUCUGGACGAUAACUGACGUUGAUGCACGAAAGUGUGGGGAGCAAACAGGAUUAGAUACCCUGGUA